rnacentral:rRNA from 1 species
CGGCGGACGGGUGAGUAACACGUGGGCAACCUGCCUGUAAGACUGGGAUAACUUCGGGAAACCGGAGCUAAUACCGGAUAACUUCUUUCUCUGCAUGGGGAAAGGUUAAAAGACGGUUUCGGCUGUCACUUACAGAUGGGCCCGCGGCGCAUUAGCUAGUUGGUGAGGUAACGGCUCACCAAGGCGACGAUGCGUAGCCGACCUGAGAGGGUGAUCGGCCACACUGGGACUGAGACACGGCCCAGACUCCUACGGGAGGCAGCAGUAGGGAAUCUUCCGCAAUGGACGAAAGUCUGACGGAGCAACGCCGCGUGAGUGAUGAAGGUCUUCGGAUCGUAAAACUCUGUUAUCAGGGAAGAACAAGUAUCGGAGUAACUGCCGGUACCUUGACGGUACCUGACCAGAAAGCCACGGCUAACUACGUGCCAGCAGCCGCGGUAAUACGUAGGUGGCAAGCGUUGUCCGGAAUUAUUGGGCGUAAA